GGGUGUAUUCUAAAUUAACUUAUUUCAUUCUUAAGUAGUUUAUUUAUUUUCUUUGCUCCUUUUGAGAGUCUGUCGGGACUCCUUUGAAAUGUUCUUCUGGGCUGUGAAGAUAUUGUGUCAAUGCACUGGUCUUGGGUUUGAGUUUGUGUAACGGAAUGUGAGGUGAAGUUUGUCUUCAGACUGACAGAGGUGGCAGUGUGGGCUGAAUGCCAGUAGUGACCUAACUAAUCUACUGAAGAUCUCCUCUACUGUGUUUGCCUCCCGCCCACACAGCACUUCAUCACAGUCUACUCUGCUGCAUGGUGAUCAAGGAGUUAAGGUUCCCAACUACAGUUAACAUUCUGCUUUGGUAUUUUCUGCUUUCUCAUCGACAUUAAGUAAGCGUUGUGGGUAAUUUAUUUAUAUUUUUAUUUGACACUUGUUUCUAACUGUGCGGCCAAUGAGAAGGUUUCGCACUGAUCUAUGAGAGAGAUGCUCACCUGCUCAUACCUGAGUACUCCUGCAGGUUAUUUGUUUCAAUAGUAAAGCCGGAGUACUCCUGAAGGUUAUUUGUUUCAAUAGUAAAGCCUGAGUACUCCUGCAGGUUAUUUGUUUCAACAGCAAAGCCUGAGUACUCCUGAAGGUUAUUUGUUUCAACAGUAAAGCCUGAGUACUCCUGAAGGUUCUUUCUGUUUCAACAGUAAAGCCGGAGUACUCCUGAAGGUUCUUUCUGUUUCAACAGUAAAGCCGGAGUACUCCUGAAGGUUCUUUCUGUUUCAACAGUAAAGCCUGAGUACUCCUGAAGGUUCUUUCUGUUUCAACAGUAAAGCCUGAGUACUCCUGAAGGUUCUUUCUGUUUCAACAGUAAAGCCUGAGUACUCCUGAAGGUUCUUUCUGUUUCAACAGUAAAGCCUGAGUACUCCUGAAGGUUCUUUCUGUUUCAACAGUAAAGCCUGAGUACUCCUGAAGGUUCUUUCUGUUUCAACAGUAAAGCCUGAGUACUCCUGAAGGUUCUUUCUGUUUCAACAGUAAAGCCUGAGUACUCCUGAAGGUUAUUUGUUUCAACAGUAAAGCCUGAGUACUCCUGAAGGUUCUUUCUGUUUCAACAGUAAAGCCGGAGUACUCCUGAAGGUUCUUUCUGUUUUAAAUGGUAAAAGCUGAAGAAUCAGAGAGCAGCACUACACGAUCCUAAUUUGAAUGUCUGCGUGUAUCUGUUUGAGUGCUCCUAUGUACGUACUGUAUGUAUGUACAUGUGCGUGUUUUGUACUGAAAGCGUAAUCCUUACUUUUGAAGGGGGAGAAUUGGCAUGCUUGAUUGCACCAUUAAAGCUUAUUUAACUGAGAUGUAUUGCUGAAAAUAUGCCUUUAUGAAAAUAACAGUUAUAAAUGAUAGAUUCAUGAAAUCAUGGAUACUAUUACAUUCAAGAGGAGAUGUAUUUAAUCAUGAAAUGAUUGAGUUAACCUUAAUAUUAUAAUAUCUCAUUUUCAUUUGAACUGUUCUUUAUCUCAAUAUUUUAUUUAGGAUUUUUCACAUUUUUAGGAAUGUGAACAUUCUGAGAAGAAAAUCUGCACUCAAAAAAUGUUUGUGCACAAAAAUCAUGGAAUCAAUCAAUCGAACAAAAGCAAAAGUUGAACUCUACACAAACUCAGUUGUUAUUAGUAUGGUUAUGAAUGUCUGCACAUUGGCAUGUCUGGCAUGUCCACACUGGUCCGGGGGUUUGGUUUGCUCUUCAGUGGACGUGGUGGUGGCAGCAUCAGCUGGUGACAUGGGUGCUCCUUGCCAACUGCACACACUCAUGGCAUUUUGCAGUGGUAAUUGAUCUCUUUGCAUCCAUGGAAAAUAUAUCAUAUGUGAGUUAGCUCUCUGUUUGAAGACUUAUUUACAAUUAUUGCUGACUUCUUAUUGUACUUGACCGCCUUAAACUACUGUAAACAGCUUGGUUUAUUUUCACGUUUUCACUGGAACACUGAAAGUCUGUGUAACUGGACUGUUUAUUGACAUUUUUGAAAUGGAAAGGAAGCUGUGAAAUGAUCCAAUAAGCAUCUCCGUUUACAUCAAUUCAAUUUUGGUUACUUGAAAACAGGAAAGUACAAAUGGGGGAAAAAACAUUCAAAUGUAGACGACAAUGAAGAGAGGGGAGGGGGGAAAUUGAAAGAAAUUGGUUGAAAAGGACAAUCACUGUCUGAAAAAUAAGCAGAUUUUGAUUCAAAUAUAUUUGCUUCCCUGUCAGAUUUGGUUUAUUUUUCUGGAUUUAAGCAUUUAGCUUUGACAAUCAUAGUAUGUUUUGUUUUUUUCUCUCAAGGGGAGUAAAUUCUAAGGCUGUUUAGUUUUGUACUUUUUUGGUGUGCUGUUGUUGAAAUUUUUAAAUUGUGUGCAAACUGCAAUAAAUUCUAAGAACCUUAAAACUCAA